AUACCAUGGUUAUCUGCUUUAGACGAAACCUUUUAAUGAGUAAUGUCGUUAUUAAUAGGGCUACUUAAAAUCGGGAGAAUUGCUAGGGAACUCUCAUGGCACAUGCGAAUAAAUGAGACAAUCUGCAGCCUAGACUAUAUAGACCAUUCAAGGCCCUCUUUUUUUUGACAAAAACAGGCAGUGAUGGAAUAUAGUAAGGUUCAACGACUAAUCAGGUAGUUGUACAAACUACAAGCUGAACACGAGCACCCGACUUAAUACUUACUUCCUCCAAUACAGAAAGCAAGUUUAAGAUGAUAUAGUCUGCUCUAUAUUGUGAAAUAUAG
rnacentral:ncRNA from 1 species